rnacentral:rRNA from 1 species
UACAGAGGUCUCAAGCGUUGUUCGGAUUCAUUGGGCGUAAAGGGUGCGUGGGUGGCUUGUUAAGUUGAAGGUGAAAUCUCGGGGCUCAACUCCGAAACUGCCUUCAAUACUGGCGAGCUCGAGGACUGUAGAGGAGAAUGGAAUUCACGGUGUAGCAGUGAAAUGCGUAGAGAGCGUGAGGAAGACCAGUGGCGAAAGCGAGUCUCGGGGCAGUUCCUGACACUGAGGCACGAAGGCCAGGGGAGCAAACGGG